rnacentral:misc_RNA from 1 species
UACGUGGGGAGCAAGCGUUGUUCGGAUUUACUGGGCGUAAAGAGCUCGUAGGCGGGCGUGUAAGUCGGAUGUGAAAUCCUCUGGCUCAACCAGAGAACUGCACCCGAAACUGCACGCCUUGAGUUCAGCAGAGGGAAUCGGAAUCUUGCGUGUAGCGGUGAAAUGCGUAGAGAUGCAAGAGAACACCAGUGGCGAAGGCGGAUUCCUGGGCUGACACUGACGCUGAGGAGCGAAAGCUGGGGGAGCGAACAGG